CAGAAUUCCAAAGGUCACACACUUGCAGA
rnacentral:piRNA from 2 species